rnacentral:rRNA from 1 species
UGGUGUGGCCUCAAAACUACAGCUCUCAAGAGCUAAGCAGGGCUGGGCCUGGUUAGUAUUUGGAUGGGAGAACCCUGGGAAUACUAGGUGCCACAGUGG